CAAGUCGAGCGAACAGACGAGGAGCUUGCUCCUCUGACGUUAGCGGCGGACGGGUGAGUAACACGUGGGUAACCUACCUAUAAGACUGGGAUAACUCCGGGAAACGGGCUAAUACCGGAUAACACAUGAAACCGCAGUUUCAUGAUGAAAGACGGUUUUGCUGUCACUUAUAGAUGGACCCGCGGCGUAUUAGCUAGUUGGUAAGGUAACGGCUUACCAAGGCAACGAUACGUAGCCGACCUGAGAGGGUGAUCGGCCACACUGGAACUGAGACGGUCCAGACUCCUACGGGACAGCAGUAGGGAAUCUUCCGCAAUGGGCGAAAGCCUGACGGAGCAACCGCGUGAGUGAUGAAGGUCUUCGGAUCGUAAAACUCUGUUAUUAGGGAAGAACAAGGAUGUAAGUAACUAUGCAUCCCUUGACGGUACCUAAUCAGAAAGCCACGGCUAACUACGUGCCAGCAGCCGCGGUAAUACAGGUGGCAAGCGUUAUCCGGAAUUAUUGGGCGUAGCGCGCGUAGGCGGUUUUUUAAGUCUGAUGUGAACCCACGGCUCAACCGUGGAGGGUCAUUGGAAACUGGAAAACUUGAGUGCAGAAGAGGAAAGUGGAAUUCCAUGUGUAGCGGUGAAAUGCGCAGAGAUAUGGAGGAACACCAGUGGCGAAGGCGACUUUCUGGUCUGACUGACGCUGAUGUGCGAAAGCGUGGGGAUCACAGGAUUAGAUACCCUGGUAGUCCACGCCGUAAACGGAGUGCUAAGUGUUAGGGGGUUUCCGCCCCUUAGUGCUGCAGCUAACGCAUUAAGCACUCCGCCUGGGGAGUACGGCCGCAAGGCUGAAACUCAAAGGAAUUGACGGGGACCCGCACAAGCGGUGGAGCAUGUGGUAUUCGAAGCAACGCGAAGAACCUUACCAAAUCUUGACAUCCUUUGACAACUCUAGAGAUAGAGCUUUCCCCUUCGGGGGACAAAGUGACAGGUGGUGCAUGGUUGUCGUCAGCUCGUGUCGUGAGAUGUUGGGUUAAGCCGCAACGAGCGCAACCCUUAAGCUUAGUUGCCAGCAUUAAGUUGGGCACUCUAAGUUGACUGCCGGUGAAACCGGAGGAAGGUGGG
rnacentral:rRNA from 1 species